CCCUGACCAGCAAUGUGGAACCGCAGCUUAGGUGAGUGUGGCCAUCGGCUGGUGUGACAAUCUUGUAUGUUAUAUGAAUUGGCUCCAGCAGCACCCUUGUAAUGUAUGUAUGUUCAUGUGAGUGCAGCCCUCUUGGAUUCAUAUAUAUUUAUUUAUAUUUGGGAGUCAAGGGUCCUAUUUAACCUUGCACUGCCGAAAAAAUCCCAGUAUGAAGCUUUCCCCAAGUAAGUGGACUAAUCUUCUAAGAGCAAGCAUUAGGUUGCUAGGAUAGGACCUGCAAGGUGUGAG